GUAAGCGUUAGUGUCAUGUCCCUGGGCAGUCGAUGACAGAUAGAGAGGGUAGGCGAAAAGGAAAAGAAAAAGUGGUCAGUUGUUAGAAAUGCGUACAGGGAUAGAGACUGGAAAGGAUAGUUGAAAAUUGGAGAAUAUAUAACGAGUUGUUUAUUGAAUAAACGGUGGUUUUAAUUGUUUCCCGAAUCCGCUCCUUCACAAAUCUGGCGACGAGGAUUUUAGAAAAAGAUGGAUGAUGGUCGUCCUGUACCUCCGUUUCGAUGUGACGAAAUCGAGAAAAAUCGUUUAUACAAUGAAUGGAGAAUAUGGAAAAGGUCGCUGGAGUGCUACUUUGAAGCUUACGAUGUUGAGGAUCAAAAGAAAAAACGGGCAAAGCUUUUACAUUUUGGAGGACCACAGCUACAGUGUGUAUUCGAAAAUCUCCCAGAUCGAGAGAAUUUUCCAUUAGUGGCUAUAGCGAAGCCAUGGUACGACGUUGCAGUCAAUGCACUUGACCGGUUCUUUCAACCGUGCCAACAAGACGGUUUGAACGACAUAAGCUACGUCAAAUGUAUCAAAAAGAUGGCGAAAGGUUCGCUGAUUUCUUGUUACGGUUGCGGCAACAGGUUUCUGACUGUGGGUUCGAGAAAUACUCUAUAGAGACGAAGGAUGUUCUUACAGAAAUAUUUUUAACGGAUGUCAUUAUUGAGGG